CGAGAAUCAAAGCAAAACUACCUGAAUAAUCUACUCAAGGAAGCAGAAAACAAGAAGGCUCGGGAUAAUAUGGAGAAGCAGUACCUUAGUGACAGUGGGUUGGAUUUAGUGUCAGUAAUGCAAGAAAAGGUCGUUGGUCAUCCUAAAAGAGAUGCAAUAACAGGAGAGUUGCUC